CCUACGGGGGGCAGCAGUGAGGAAUAUUGGUCAAUGGGCGAGAGCCUGAACCAGCCAAGUCGCGUGAGGGAGUACUGCCCUAUGGGUUGUAAACCUCUUUUGUCGGGGAGCAAAAGCCGGACGUGUCCGGCUGUGAGAGUACCCCAAGAAAAAGCAUCGGCUAACUCCGUGCCAGCAGCCGCGGUAAUACGGAGGAUGCGAGCGUUAUCGGGAUUUAUUGGGGUUAAAGGGUGCGCAGGCGGAUUUUUAAGUCAGCGGUCAAAUCGUGGGGCUCAACCCCAUCCAGCCGUUGAAACUGGGGAUCUAGAGUGUGCGAGAGGUAUGCGGAAUGCGUGGUGUAGCGGUGAAAUGCAUAGAUAUCACGCAGAACCCCGAUUGCGAAGGCAGCAUACCGGUGAACAACUGACGCUCAGGCACGAAAGCGUGGGUAUCGAACAGGAUUAGAUACCCUGGUAGUC
rnacentral:rRNA from 1 species